rnacentral:rRNA from 1 species
CCUACGGGAGGCAGCAGUGAGGAAUAUUGCUCAAUGGACGAGAGUCUGAACCAGCCAAGUAGCGUGAAGGAUGACUGCCCUCUGGUUUGUAAACUUCUUCUAUAAAGGAAUAAAACGAGGCACGUGUGCCUUUUUGCAUGUACUUUAUGAAUAAGCAUCGGCUAACUCCGUGCCAGCAGCCGCGGUAAUACGGAGGAUCCGAGCGUUACCCGGAUUUACUGGGUUUAAAGGGAGCGUAGAUGGGUUGGUAAGUCAGUUGUGAAAGUUUGCGGCUUAACCGUGAAAUUGCAAUUGAUACUGGCAGGCUUGAGUACAGUUGAGGUAGGUGGAAUUCGAGGUGUAGCGGUGAAAUGCUUAGAGAUGACGAAGAACACCGAUGGCGAAGGCAGCUUACUAAACUGUGACUGACAUUGAUGCUCGAAAGUGUGGGUAGCAAACAGGAUUAGAUACCCCAGUAGUC